CCACUGUUUCUCUGGUUCAUCUUCCUUCUUCGUGGUGCUCUCAUCUCUUUCUUCAUCAUAAUGCUCUGAGCUUAAUUAGCUAAUGCAUCUGUCUUCAACGUCUUUAUCUAGCAUCCCUCAAUGCUUUCCUCGAUUUCUCUAGCUAGAAGGAAUUCACCAGCACAUGGAUUUGAUGAUCCCAACGACUGUAGUUCCGAUAAAUGGAGAAGCUUCCAGUUUAGAAGCUACCGCUUCCUGCCUCCCUUGCGAUGAGUUCAGUGGACCGCUGUUUGGCUGACCCUCUUCUUCUCAUUUGUGUUGGGUUGACCCAGAAGUACAACAAAAAGAAAUAGAACCACUGGAGAGUCGUCUGCAGUUCACACUUCAGCAAAGACGACUGACUUUGGAAGCGAAACACGAACCUAUUUCCGCUAUUUCGGGUUCUUAUUGAGCGUAACAAAAUCAAGAUUGAUUAUAAAGUCAACGAAGUUUCCAUAGUGUUCUACCACCUCACACCAUUUAAGAACAUGUGUACACUUUAUAUAUAAUUAAGUCACGCAUGGCCAUCAUGGGAUA